rnacentral:tRNA from 1 species
AAGCGUGUUAACUCAAGCGGUAGAGUAUUGUGCUACGGACACAAAAGUUAUAAGUUCAAGUCUUAUGCACGCUUA